rnacentral:misc_RNA from 1 species
UCCUAGUUAACCUAGGCUGUCUCACUAGAGUUCCCACCUUUACGCGCUGGCAACUAGUGAUAAGGGUUGCGCUCGUUGCGGGACUUAACCCAACACCUCACGGCACGAGCUGACGACAGCCAUGCAGCACCUGUGCAGAAGCCCCGAAGGGAGGCGCCAUCUCUGGCGUUAGCCUCUGCAUGUCAAGCCUGGGUAAGGUUCUUCGCGUUGCAUCGAAUUAAACCACAUGCUCCACUGCUUGUGCGGGUCCCCGUCAAUUCUUUUGAGUUUCACCCUUGCGAGCGUACUCCCCAGGCGGUAUACUUAACGCGUUCGCUACGGCACAGUCGGGGUUGAGUCCAACUACACCUAGUAUACAUCGUUUACGGCAAGGACUAC